GACGAACGCUGGCGGCGCGCUUAACACAUGCAAGUCGAACGGAAAGGCCUGCUUUCCCUUGUGGAUUGCGGGUACUCGAGUGGCGAACGGGUGAGUAACACGUGAGUGAUCUGCCCCCAACUUGGGUAUAAGCCUGGGAAACUGGGUCUAAUUCCCGAUAGGACUGCAGGGUGGUGCCUGUGGUGGAAAACGAUUUUCUAGUGGUUGGGGAUGAGCUCGCGGCCUAUCAGCUUGUUGGUGGGGUAAUGGCCUACCAAGGCGGCGACGGGUAGCCGGCCUGGGAGGGUGGACGGGCACAUUGGGACUGAGAGACGGCCCAGACGCCUACGGGAGGCAGCAGUGGGGAAUAUUGCACAAUGGGCGGAAGCCUGAUGCAGCGACGCCGCGUGGGGGAUGACGGCCUUCGGGUUGUAAACUCCUUUCGACCGCGAGGAAGCCACCUGGUUGGAAGGGUGGUGACGGUAGUGGUAGAAGAAGCACCGGCUAACUACGUG
rnacentral:rRNA from 1 species